rnacentral:rRNA from 1 species
GAUGAACGCUGGCGGCGUGCCUAAUACAUGCAAGUCGAGCGAACAGAUGAGGAGCUUGCUCCUCUGACGUUAGCGGCGGACGGGUGAGUAACACGUGGAUAACCUACCUAUAAGACUGGGAUAACUUCGGGAAACCGGAGCUAAUACCGGAUAAUAUAUUGAACCGCAUGGUUCAAUAGUGAAAGACGGUUUUGCUGUCACUUAUAGAUGGAUCCGCGCCGCAUUAGCUAGUUGGUAAAGUAACGGCUUACCAAGGCGACGAUGCGUAGCCGACCUGAGAGGGUGAUCGGCCACACUGGAACUGAGACACGGUCCAGACUCCUACGGGAGGCAGCAGUAGGGAAUCUUCCGCAAUGGGCGAAAGCCUGACGGAGCAACGCCGCGUGAGUGAUGAAGGUCUUCGGAUCGUAAAACUCUGUUAUUAGGGAAGAACAAAUGUGUAAGUAACUAUGCACGUCUUGACGGUACCUAAUCAGAAAGCCACGGCUAACUACGUG